AUUGGACGCUGGCGGCAGGCUUAACACAUGCAAGUCGAGCGGAGAUGAGGUGCUUGCACCUUAUCUUAGCGGCGGACGGGUGAGUAAUGCUUAGGAAUCUGCCUAUUAGUGGGGGACAACAUUCCGAAAGGAAUGCUAAUACCGCAUACGUCCUACGGGAGAAAGCAGGGGCUCUUCGGACCUUGCGCUAAUAGAUGAGCCUAAGUCGGAUUAGCUAGUUGGUGGGGUAAAGGCCUACCAAGGCGACGAUCUGUAGCGGGUCUGCGAGGAGGCUCCGCCACACUGGGACUGAGACACGGCGCGGACUCCUACGGGAGGCAGCAGUGGGGAAUAUUGGACAAUGGGGGGAACCCUGAUCCAGCCAUGCCGCGUGUGUGAAGAAGGCCUUAUGGUUGUAAAGCACUUUAAGCGAGGAGGAGGCUACUGAGACUAAUACUCUUGGAUAGUGGACGUUACUCGCAGAAUAAGCACCGGCUAACUCUGUGCCAGCCGCCGCCGUAA
rnacentral:rRNA from 1 species